UGAUUCUGAACUGACUCACCUGCGUGCAUGCUCAUUCAGUGUUCACUGAAUGAGCAUGCACGCAGGUGAGUCAGUUCAAAAUGAC
rnacentral:pre_miRNA from 1 species